UACGGAGGAUGCAAGCGUUAUCCGGAUUCAUUGGGUUUAAAGGGUGCGUAGGCGGGCUAUUAAGUCAGUGGUGAAAUCCUGCAGCUUAACUGCAGAACUGCCGUUGAUACUGAUAGUCUUGAGUUUGGUUAAGGUAGGCGGAAUGUGUAAUGUAGCGGUGAAAUGCUUAGAUAUUACACAGAGCACCAAUUGCGUAGGCAGCUUACUGAGCCGACACUGACGCUGAGGCACGAAAGCGUGGGGAUCAAACA
rnacentral:rRNA from 1 species